CUCACAAACGUUUUCUUUUCAUGCUGAAGUUUAUUUAAUGGAUCAGUAAUUCCUCAGUUCUUUCUUUUGCUCCUUCUUUUUUUUAAGUUUCACUUCACAAUACAAGAACAACCUGAAAGGAGGUUGUAGCAAGGUGGGAGGCGGCCUCUUCUCCCAGGAGACCCAUCGGACGGCUCGUACAGCUAUUUUUACUUUCUAAUAAAGAGAGGAUGUCACAUGAAUUGCCAGGAAAGCAAAUAUAUUCUUGAUGCUUUAACCUUGUUUAAGUUACUUAAUUUGCAUUCAAAAUUUAAAGAACCAGCCUCAAUCCAUGAAACGACCAGAGUGUAU
ensembl:lncRNA